rnacentral:rRNA from 1 species
GUCCUGCUCCGCGCGCUCGCCACGCACUCCCCUCCGCUCCUCGACGCGCUCCUCCCCUUCGCGCUCUCCUCCCCGUCCCCCGACGCCCUCCUGCCCCGCCUGCUCUCCGCGCUCCUCUCCGCCUCCCGCCUCGACGCCGCGCUCGCACUCCUCCAAGACGCCCCUCCCGACCUCCUCCCCCGCCUCGCCGCCGCCGCCAUCCCUUCCCUCAUCGCCUCCCCUGACCCCAUCUCCGCCGUCCCCGCCAUCCGCAGGCUGCUUCCCAUCGCCUCCCACCCGCCUCACGUCCGAGCCACCAACCGCCUCCUCCUCGCCUUGUCCAAGGAGAACCUCCACGAUGACUUCUGCCAUGUGUUCGACGAAAUGUCAAGGAGGGGCCUUCCUUCCAACUUGAGGUUCUACAACAUUUGCAUCCACGCCUUCGGCAAGUGGAAGCGCCUGGAUAAGUCCCUCAAGCUCUUCGCGGCCAUGAAAGCUGCCUCUCCUCCGCUUGUGCCAGAUAUAUGCACGUACAAUUCGGUCAUACGUGUGCUUGUGAUCGGCGGGAGGGUGGCUGACGCUUUGGUGGUCUUUGAUGAAAUGAAGUUGGCUGGGAUCCACCCAGACGUGUUCACUUACCGCGCAGUCGUGGAUGGGUGCUGCAAGAGUUUCAGGAUGGAUGACGCACUGCGUCUGUUUCAGGAGAUGCGCGGGGGCACCGGGCUGAAGGGGGAUGUCGUCGUGUACAAUUCGCUUCUGGAUGGACUCUUCAAAGCAAAGAGGCUUGAUGAGGCAUGUGGUUUUUUCGAGACAAUGGUGGCGGAUGGGAUCCAAUGCUCAGCGAGCACACACAACACCGUGAUCGAUGGGCUGUUCAAGAACGGGAGGGCAGAAGCUGCAUGUCGGCUGUUCUAUGAGCUAAGGAAGAAAGGUCAGCUAUUGGAUGGGAUUGCAUACAGUAUUAUGGUAAGGGAGUUCUGCAAGGAGGGCACAGGGGACCAAGUUGCAGAGGCAGUCAGUUUGGUCAAGGAGAUGGAAGAUCGGGGCUUUGUUAUUGAUUUGGUUACCGUUACAUCAUUACUUCUAGGUUUUAACAAGAGUAGACGGUGGGAUUUGGAAGAGAAGAUAGUGAAGAUCAUAAGAGAUAGCUCUGUCUUGCCAGAUGCCAUCCGAUGGAAGUCCAACAUGAUGGAUGCCUUGACAGGACCACAAGAUAGAGCGAAAGAUGGAACAUCAAUCUUUCCAUUUGAUGGUAAUAUGAACGAUGUGAUGAGUUUGCUCAAUCCUGCAGUAUGCACUGAUACAAAUGAAGGAACCACACAUAAUGAACCCAAGGAUGAUUGGUCUUUGUCCCCACACUUAGAUCAUCUUGCCAAACAUGCUGACCAUUCAAAUAAUUCUGCUAUAUUUACAGUACACAGAGGUCAGAGGGUGGAAGGCAUGGGGGGUAAAACUUUCGAUGCUGACAUGGUUAAUACAUAUAUGUCAAUCUUUUUGGCCAAAGGGAAGUUGAGUGUAGCCUGCAAGUUAUUUGAGAUCUUUACAAAUCUGGGAAGGAAAGGGACAAGUUAUACAUACAAUUCACUGAUGGCCUCAUUUGUCAAGAAGGGGUAUUUGAAGCAGGUCUGGGCAGUUCUUCACGAGAGGGGUGGACAGCUCUGCCCCAAUGACAUAGCAACAUACAAUCUGAUAAUUCAAGGUCUUGGCCAGAUGGGGAAAACAGAGGUUGCUAGCUCAAUCAUGGAACAAUUGUCAAAGAAAGGUGUUUACAUGGAUAUUGUUAUGUACAAUACUUUGAUCAAUCAAUUGGGAAAGGUCGGGAAGGUUGAAGAAGCAAACUGUUUGCUUGAGCAGAUUACCACAAGGGGCAUGAGACCAGAUCUUGUUACUUUUAAUACCUUGAUCAAUAUUAAUGCGAAAGCUGGUAGGUUGAAGGAAGCCGACAAGUAUUUGAGGAGGAUGAUUGCAGAAGGCAUUGCUCCAAAUCACGUAACGGAAACAAUAAUGAUUUUCCUUGAUAAGGAGAUUCAAAAGAAAAAACAGCAAUCUAAAUGA